AUUGAACGCUGGCGGCAUGCCUUACACAUGCAAGUCGAACGGCAGCGGACCUUCGGGUGCCGGCGAGUGGCGAACGGGUGAGUAAUGCAUCGGAACGUGCCAUUGAGUGGGGGGAUAACGUAGCGAAAGUUGCGCUAAUACCGCAUAUUCUGUGAGCAGGAAAGCAGGGGACCGCAAGGCCUUGCGCUCUUUGAGCGGCCGAUGUCAGAUUAGCUAGUUGGUGAGGUAACGGCUUACCAAGGCGACGAUCUGUAGCGGGUCUGAGAGGAUGAUCCGCCACACUGGAACUGAGACACGGUCCAGACUCCUACGGGAGGCAGCAGUGGGGAAUUUUGGACAAUGGGGGCAACCCUGAUCCAGCCAUGCCGCGUGAGUGAAGAAGGCCU
rnacentral:rRNA from 1 species